UCCGCAAUGGACGAAAGUCUGACGGAGCACGCCGCGUGAGUGAUGAAGGCUUUCGGGUCGUAAAACUCUGUUGUUAGGGAAGAACAAGUGCUAGUUGAAUAAGCUGGCACCUUGACGGUACCUAACCAGAAAGCCACGGCUAACUACNNGCNAGCAGCCGCGGUAAUACGUAGGUGGCAAGCGUUAUCCGGAAUUAUUGGGCGUAAAGCGCGCGCAGGUGGUUUCUUAAGUCUGAUGUGAAAGCCCACGGCUCAACCGUGGAGGGUCAUUGGAAACUGGGAGACUUGAGUGCAGAAGAGGAAAGUGGAAUUCCAUGUGUAGCGGUGAAAAUGCGUAGAGAUAUGGAGGAAACACCAGUGGCCGAAGGCGACUUUCUGGUCUGUUAACUGACACUGAAGGCGCGAAAGCGUGGGGAAGCAAACAGGGAUUAGAUACCCCUGGUUAAUUCCACGCCCGUUAAAACGAUGAAGUGCUUAAUUGUUUAAAAGGGGUUUUCCCCCCCCUUUAAUGCUGAAGUUAACCCCAUUUAAACCCCUCCCCCCCCUGGGGAGUUAACGGCCCCCCAAAGGCCUGAAAAACUCCAAAAAGAAAUUUGACCGGGGGGCCCCCCCACCAAACCGGUGGAGCAUGUGGUUUAAUUCGAAGCAACGCGAAGAACCUUACCAGGUCUUGACAUCCUCUGAAAACCCUAGAGAUAGGGCUUCUCCUUCGGGAGCAGAGUGACAGGUGGUGCAUGGUUGUCGUCAGCUCGUGUCGUGAGAUGUUGGGUUAAGUCCCGCAACGAGCGCAACCCUUGAUCUUAGUUGCCAUCAUUAAGUUGGGCACUCUAAGGUGACUGCCGGUGACAAACCGGAGAAGGUGGGGAUGACGUCAAAUCAUCAUGCCCCUUAUGACCUGGGCUACCCACGUGCUUCAAUGGACGGUACAAAGAGCUGCAAGACCGCGAGGUGGACCUAUCUCAUAAAACCGUUCUCAGUUCGAAUUGUAGGCUGCAACUCGCCUACAUGAAGCUGGAAUCGCUAGUAAUCGCGGAUCAGC
rnacentral:rRNA from 1 species